UACGGGGGGGGCAAGCGUUGUUCGGAAUUACUGGGCGUAAAGGGCUCGUAGGCGGCCAACUAAGUCAGACGUGAAAUCCCCAGGCUCAACCUGGGAACUGCGUCUGAUACUGGAUGGCUUGAAUUCGGGAGAGGGAUGCAGAAUUCCAGGUGUAGCGGUGAAAUGCGUAGAUAUCUGGAGGAAUACCUGCGGCGAAGGCGGGUUGCUGGGCUGAUACUGACGCUGAGGCGCGAAAGCCAGGGGAGCGAACGGG
rnacentral:rRNA from 1 species